GACGAACGCUGGCGGCGUGCUUAACACAUGCAAGUCGAACGAUAAGGCCCUUCGGGGUACACGAGUGGCGAACGGGUGAGUAACACGCGGGUGAUCUGCCCUGCACUUCGGGAUAAGCCUGGGAAACUGGGUCUAAUACCGGAUAGGACCACUGCCUGCAUGGGUGGUGGUGGAAAGCUUUUGCGGUGUGGGAUGGGCCCGCGGCCUAUCAGCUUGUUGGUGGGGUGAUGGCCUACCAAGGCGACGACGGGUAGCCGGCCUGAGAGGGUGACCGGCCACACUGGGACUGAGAUACGGCCCAGACUCCUACGGGAGGCAGCAGGGGGGAAUAUUGCACAAUGGGCGCAAGCCUGAUGCAGCGACGCCGCGUGAGGGAUGACGGCCUUCGGGUUGUAAACCUCUUUCAGCACCGACGAAGCGCAAGUGACGGUAGGUGCAGAAGAAGGACCGGCCAAUUACGUGCCAGCCGCCGCCGUAA
rnacentral:rRNA from 1 species